UACAGAGGGUGCAAGCGUUAAUCGGAAUUACUGGGCGUAAAGCGUGCGUAGACGGUCAUGUAAGUCGGGUGUGAAAGCCCCGGGCUCACCUGGGAAUUGCAUUCGAGACUGCAUGGCUAGGGUGCGGAAGAGGGAAGCGGAAUUUCCGGUGUAGCGGUGAAAUGCGUAGAUAUCGGAAGGAACACCAGUGGCGAAAGCGGCUUCCUGGUCCAGCACCGACGUCAGGCACGAAAGCGUGGGGAGCAAACAGG
rnacentral:rRNA from 1 species